rnacentral:rRNA from 1 species
UACGUAGGGUGCGAGCGUUAAUCGGAAUUACUGGGCGUAAAGCGUGCGCAGGCGGUUCGCCGUGUCCGAUGUGAAAGCCCCGGGCUUAACCUGGGAAUGGCAUUGGAAACUGGCGGGCUGGAGUAUGGCAGAGGGGGGUGGAAUUCCACGUGUAGCAGUGAAAUGCGUAGAGAUGUGGAGGAACACCGAUGGCGAAGGCAGCCCCCUGGGCCAGCACUGACGCCUCAUGCACGAAAGCGUGGGGAGCAAACAGGAUUGAGAUACCC